rnacentral:lncRNA from 1 species
AGGAGAAAAUGGUGAUGACAUCUUUUUGGCCAGAUGGAACUGAUGGAAGAUUUAUGGAGCAGCUGAGAACUGUCAGAGCCACCCUAUCUACCCAGUCAUCAGUGAGGUUAUCCCAAUACCCCACCAGCUGCUGCCACCCAAUCUAGUCUGGCACCCAGGGCCCUCCCAGAGUGGGAAACCUCAUCCAAUGCCUUCUCGGUUACAGAGAUUUCAGAAAUUAGUCACAGAAAGGAGG